rnacentral:rRNA from 1 species
CCUACGGGAGGCAGCAGUGAGGAAUAUUGGUCAAUGGGCGCGAGCCUGAACCAGCCAAGUAGCGUGAAGGAAGAAUGCUCUCGGGUUGUAAACUUCCUUUUAUAGGGACGUAGCAUGUUCCGGUACCUGAAGAUGAAGCCUCGGCUAAAUACGUGCCAGCAGCCGCGGUAAUACGUCGGAGGCAAUCGUUAUCCGGAUUUACUGGGUGUAAAGGGGGCGCAGACGGAGAUGCAAGUCAGGAGUGAAAGCCCGGGGCUCAACCGCGAGACUGCAUUUGGAACUGGGUGGCUGGAGUGCAGGAGAGGUGGGCGGAAUUCGUGGUGUAGCGGUGAAAUGCGUAGAUAUCAGGAAGAACACCGGUGGCGAAGGCAGCCUGCUGGACUGCAACUGACGUUGAGGCCCGAAAGCGUGGGGAGCAAACAGGAUUAGAUACCCCAGUAGUC